rnacentral:rRNA from 1 species
UACGGGGGGGGCAAGCGUUAUUCGGAAUUAUUGGGCGUAAAGGGCGCGUAGGCGGCCUGGCAAGUGAAAGGUGAAAUCCCUCGGCUUAACCGAGGAACUGCCUUUCAGACUGCUUGGCUUGAGACCGGGAGAGGUGAGUGGAAUUCCCAGUGUAGCGGUGAAAUGCGUAGAUAUUGGGAGGAACACCAGUGGCGAAGGCGGCUCACUGGACCGGUACUGACGCUGAUGCGCGAAAGCGUGGGGAGCAAACGGG